UGUGAGAGGCUUGAAUAUUUUACUUUAUAUAUUUUUUUAAAAUGUAUACACUCCAGACUAAUAGUAAUACCAAAACUUGUCUAUGAUUUUUUUUUUUUUUCCAGAGAAAAUUAACCACUUUGGAUGGAAAAAAUAGAAAAAUAAGUUUGCACUCAAAUACAUACCUGCACUUAUGUCCAGUGACAGUCACACAUGAAUCAGAAGACAGAAUUUUACACAUCAGUGACUGUUCCCAGAAGUGACAGAGCUUUGGGCACACUUCAAAAUCACCCUGGUACUUCUGAGUGGACCAAAAUGCCAGUGCAAAACCCAUCAAUAAUGGAGUACACUGACACAGGCUGACACUGAUGCAUUGCAGCAACUCCUGAGGAGACAUUAUGAUGCAUUUCAUCUCUGCAUGAGGAAAAUGUUAUGAUGUUAAUAUGGGUACAACCUACAAUAUAAAUUUAAAUAAAUCAUGGAACUGUUAGUCUGUAUAUACA
rnacentral:lncRNA from 1 species